rnacentral:rRNA from 1 species
GACGAACGCUGGCGGCGUGCUUAACACAUGCAAGUCGAGCGGUAAGGCCCUUUCGGGGGUACACGAGCGGCGAACGGGUGAGUAACACGUGGGUGACCUGCCCUCAGCUCUGGGAUAACGCCUGGGAAACCGGGUCUAAUACCGGAUAUGACUCCAUGACGCAUGUUGGUGGGGUGGAAAGCCUUGUGCGGCUGAGGAUGGGCCCGCGGCCUAUCAGCUUGUUGGUGGGGUGAGGCCUACCAAGGCGACGACGGGUAGCCGGCCUGAGAGGGCGACCGGCCACACUGGGACUGAGACACGGCCCAGACUCCUACGGGAGGCAGCAGUGGGGAAUCUUGCGCAAUGGGCGAAAGCCUGACGCAGCGACGCCGCGUGA